rnacentral:rRNA from 1 species
CCUUAGUAACUGCGAGUGAAGCGGCAAGAGCUCAAAUUUGAAAUCUGGCACCUUCGGUGUCCGAGUUGUAAUUUGUAGAAGCAUCUUUUGGAUUGGUCCUUGCAUAUGUUCCUUGGAACAGGACAUCAUAGAGGGUGAGAAUCCCGUUCAUGGUGGGGAAUCCAAUUCUUUGUAAAGUGCUUUCGAAGAGUCGAGUUGUUUGGGAAUGCAGCUCUAAGUGGGUGGUAAAUUCCAUCUAAAGCUAAAUAUUGGCGAGAGACCGAUAGCGAACAAGUACAGUGAUGGAAAGAUGAAAAGAACUCCGAAAGGAGAGUGAAAAAGGACGUGAAAUUGUUGAAAGGGAAGUGCUUGAGAUCAGUCUUAAGGUUUAGUGAUCAGUCUUCCUUUUGGUUGGUGCACUCACUAUUUCUUAGGCCAACAUCAGUUUUCGCGGCAGGAUAAUGACAUUGGAAUGUGGCUCUUUCGGGAGUGUUAUAGCCUUUGUUGAUACUGCCUGCUUAGACUGAGGACCGCGCUUUUGCUAGGAUGUUGGCAUAAUGAUCUUAAGCA